rnacentral:rRNA from 1 species
UACGUAGGGUGCGAGCGUUAAUCGGAAUUACUGGGCGUAAAGCGUGAGCAGGCGGCGCGUUAAGACAGGUGUGAAAGCCCCGAGCUUAACUUGGGAAUUGCGCUUGUGACUGGCGUGCUGGAGUGUGGCAGAGGGAGGUGGAAUUCCACGUGUAGCAGUGAAAUGCGUAGAGAUGAUGGAGGAACACCGAUGGCGAAGGCAGCCUCCUGGGCUAGCACUGACGCUCAUGCACGAAAGCGUGGGGAGCAAACAGG